UACCGGUUUUAAAAAAAUAUAUCCUCUCAAAGUAUCUUCAACAAAUAUCUCACCAUCCUUAUCCCUCCGUCCACCUCAUCCUCGACUCACUCUCAUUUCUCUCUUCCUCACUAUUACUUUUUCUUCCUUCACGUUUUCUUUCUUUCUUCAGCAGACCCAUUUAUGCUCUUUCUUCCUUUCUUCUCCUUUUCUUCUUCUUUUCUUUCUUUGUUACCUACUUUAUCUCCUUCUUUUAUUUGCUGCAACAACUCCCCACCGUUCCUCUUUCUCUUUUGAUCAGCAUCUCCACAUCCUUUUCUUCUCCAUGGACAACCAGUCCAUGAGCCACCACCUCUACUCUCCCUCUUGUAACCGUUGAUCACACCAUCACUAUCACAAUGAUUCUUCUCCUUCCUAACUUGCAGCAACAAACAUGGCACCACCACCAAUAUGAAAGCCACACACACCCCUUAUCAUCACAUAUUUGCUCCAUCUUCUAACCACCACCGUUCCUUGCUCUCCAUGGAGCCUAACAAUCCACCAUCUUUGUUCUCCUUCUUCUGGUUUUGAAUGGAGAACCCCAUGAAAGGACCCAAGCACCACCACCGUGAGCUCCACCACGCAGAGGACGCCACCGGCACAUCACCCUCUCAUUUUCCUUGGGUACGAAUAACGGAAGCGCUUGACAACGAAGCCAAAGAACAAACGGAAGUGAGCCAACACGGGAAAGCAAAGAUAUGACUGGAUUUGAUUUGAGUCGCAACUUAGUAAGGAAAGCGCCUAAGACGACGAAAGGAGGUGAUGUGAGCAGAUGCUACUCCACGUGGAAGAUCUAUAGAAGACUCGAAGAAUAGAGUCGGGUGUAGGGCUAGAGCCUUUGGGUAGAAAAGCUUACCGUUAUUGGUUUAAGCUUGUAGGAUAAUUUUAUGAUUCGCAUUUGAGGUUUUGGGUAGGUUCCGGUGCAUUGCUUUCCUAUGGUUACCCGGUGUGGAAAUCAUAGGGAGUAUAUCGGAUCUAUGGAGUCAUUGCAUAGUGAGUCCGUUGUUGGAUCUUAGUUUAUUUGUCAUGUAUUUUAUGCUGUGCCUUGAUCGAGGCCAGAUGUAAAUUAUUUACGGUUGGGAGUAUGCAUUACAUAUUUUAGAAAACACUUCGAAAAGGAAAAA